rnacentral:misc_RNA from 1 species
AUUCUAAAGCAAGCGCACAUCUCUAAUUAGCACAGCACGGAGCGAGACGGAUCAGGUACUGGAGCCAUCACCUUUCUGCUUACUGUCUCGGCUCCCAACGCAUCGGCAUCGGUCACCAUCGCGCACUCGUACGCGCUCGGUCUGCCUAACGCCCUCUUCUUUCGUCUCUGCCCCUUCGUAUUCGUAUACAUUGGAAACCCCAUCCACACAACUAGCCGCAGCAGUGGCUGUAGUCCAUAGUAGCCGUAGUAAUAGUAGCAACCCCCCCCCCCCCCAUCGCCUGCACGUGUGUGUGCGUGAGAAAUACAGGGCGCCUUAUCGGCUCACGCACCGCCCCUCCUCUCCUCCAGCCACCGGUGCGCCGAGCCACACACACACACACACACACAGAGUAUAGACACAUCCUCUCCCUGCGUGUGAACCUCUCGCCACCUUUCUUUCUCCCAGCAUGUUGCUUCGAGCGAGUGCCUCUAGCACUCUGCGCACCCGCGGCGGCAGCUGCUGCAGUGGGGUCUGCACGGGCCUCUACGGCUUUGGCUGUCUGACGGUGCAGCAGCGCUUCAUCGAGUACUGGGGCUCGGGUGUGACGGGUCGCACGCAGCCGUAUGCGCAGGGUGACAUGAUCCCGCGCGUCGACAACAUGCGUUACCCGGUCAACAAGGCCACCAGCGCAGCCGCGAGUCUCACCGGUAACCAGUCCUGCAUCGCCUACGACACCUCCAACAUCUUCCGGGUGGAGGGCUUCAGCCCACUAGAGAAGGAGCACUACCAGUCACUGCGCGGCUCUACAAGACACAAGGUGGAGCCGCUGCCGCCUCACAUCGGCAAGGAUGUGAUGGUGUUGCUGAAGAACAUGUCGGAAGAGGGCUUGCUGGAAGAGUACUGGUGGACCCGCGUGGUGAAGGACUUUCCGUCGCUGAAGACGCCGUGCACGGCUGAGUUUAAGAGUGCGUGGGAGAAGUUCUACGCAGAGGCGAGCGGCGUGGCGCACGACGACGAGGCUGUGAAAGCGAUUAGCAGGCCCUUCUUGCAGACACAGAUGCAGAAGAACUACAUCGCAUACGCGAUGGUUUGGCGCUUGGCUGAGCGACUGUGCGAGGCCUUUGACGCGGCACCGCAGUUGACCGUGUACGAGAGACGCGGCGGCCGCCUGGCGGUGGAGCGGGUCACAAAACUGAUGCUCGACACGAUAGCUGACGAGCCGUGGGCACAUCAGGAGACCACGAGCCCACUACACGUCGACAUCUCCAAUUUCCGUGCCUGGCAUGAGGCCGGCUACUGGUAGGCGGAGAGUGCUUGAGUGGCUGCCCGAAAGACGCAUGGGCUACCAAAGAUCUUGAAACAAGAGAGCUCUCGCUUCUCUCUUUCUCUCUCUCUCUGUCGCACUGUUGGCGCAUGCGUUCGCGUGUGCGCGCUGCUCUCCGCUCCGUCACUCUCGUGUUGAAGCCUCUCUCCGAUUCGUCAUCCACAGAAGCGGCCGCAGGGACACCUCUUCUCCUCCUUUCUGUGCGCGGUCCCAACAGAGCGAAAAACAACAUCGAAAAGAGGACCUCAAGCAGUCCAUUCGCAUGCUUCGCCCAACAGCAGGCGCGCCUGCGUCGAAGCCGACAUGCAGCCACGUCUGUGUGCGUAUCUGGGGCGGACGCGUUCUCUUCGUUGGUGGGACAGCCCCGCGGAGAGAGCGAAAAGUGGUGGCGCCAACGGCGAUGCACUCGCGACGAUAUUCCGGCCGCUGUAACGCGGUGAGUGCGGUGCUCUCCGGCACCCCCCCCCGGUGAAGCGCGUCCCGCCACCUCGUCCAGAAUGCGCCUCUGCUGUUUAUUCCGUUGCCUGCACUCGGGUAGUUUCGCAGGCCAUCCUCCCACCCGUCAGCCUUUCACUCUCUCUUACUCCUCUCUGCACUGUCGCAUACCAAAG